GUGCUCGCUUUGGCAGCACAUAUAAUAAAAUUGGAAUGAUACAGAGAAGAUUCGCAUGGCCCCUGCACAAGGAUGACAUGCAAAUUCGUGAAGCAUUCCAUAUUUUU
ensembl:snRNA U6 U6 spliceosomal RNA